rnacentral:rRNA from 1 species
UACGUAGGGGGCGAGCGUUGUCCGGAUUUAUUGGGCGUAAAGAGCUCGUAGGCGGUUCGAUAAGUCGGGUGUGAAAACUCUGGGCUCAACUCAGAGACGCCACCCGAUACUGUUGUGACCUGAGUCCGGUAGGGGAGUAUGGAAUUCCCAGUGUAGCGGUGAAAUGCGCAGAUAUUGGGAGGAACACCAGUGGCGAAGGCGGUACUCUGGGCCGGAACUGACGCUGAGGAGCGAAAGCGUGGGUAGCGAACAGG